rnacentral:misc_RNA from 1 species
GUUCAACACCGUGCCGAGCGGGCUGACGCUCUACCUCGACGGCAUCGCCCACCAGACACCGUUCGUCUACGACGACCUGGUCGGGUUCAACCACACCCUCGAAGCCCGCAACCAGACGAUCGGGUCGACCGCCUACACGUUCAACUCCUGGUCCGACGGCGGCGCCCAACUCCACAACAUCACCACACCGAACGCGGAUGCGUCGUACACCGCCACGUACACGGGAUCGCAGGUCUCCGGGCCACCCACGUUCGUCCAGGCAACCGCUGGCGAGGUCAACUCUGGGAACACCAAUGCGGUGACGUUCCCGCAGAUGAACACGUCCGGGAACUUGAUCGUGGCCUUCGUCAUCUGGAACAACGCCGGAACGGCGACCGUCUCCGACACGAACGGCAACACGUACGCGCCGGCGACCGCGCGCAUGACGUGGGGCUCCGGGUGGAGCGCGCAGACGUUCUACGCCAAGAACAUCGCGCCGGGCGCGAACACGGUCACCGCGACGUUCGGGACAGCCAUCACCUCGUUCGGCAUCGCCUACAUCCACGAGUACUCCGGCCUCGACCCGGCCAGUCCGCUCGACGUCACCUCGUCAGCCGUCGGCACCACCGCCGCCAUGAGCAGCGGAACGGUCGCGACGACCCACGCCAACGACCUGCUCUUCGGCGCCGGCGCAUCGGCCAGCACCGUGACCAGCGGCGGCACGGGCUACACCGUCCGGUCAAACGCCUUCGCCAACAUCACCGAAGACCAGGCUGUCACGGCGACGGGGAGCUAUGCGGCGACGGCCACGCAGGACUCGAACGCAUGGGUCAUGCAACUGGUCGCGUUCAAGGCAGCGAGUUGACCGGCCAUCUGACUGAGAAUUGAGUAUCAGACGCAGGGCAGCAUGGCGUGUCCGUCAGCAGUCCAUCUGGGACGUAUCAGACCGUCGCCUGAACCGCUCUGUCCCUAGGUGCAGCUGAUCGGUAGACCUAGCCCCGGUCGAUUCCGGGACAGUCAGAGCUAAGGAGUUCACGCGUGCCGAAGGUGGCCAUCGACUCCCGCGUAUCCACGGUCGAGACGAUGCCAGACGAUGUCGAUUCCACAAAGUUCGUGUCGGCGGUCAUCUGUACCCGGAACCGUGCCGACAAGAUCGCGAACGCCGUGGGCUCCGUGCUGGCCAACGACUACCCGGCGUUCGAUUUGACCGUCAUCGACCAGAGCACGGAUGACCAGACCGGCGUCGCGUUGCAACCAUUCCUCGCCACGGACCAGCGUCUGCACUACGUGCACACGGACAAGGCGGGUCUUUCGCGCGCGUACAACGAAGGCAUUCGCCUCACGACGGGCGCGAUCCUUGCGUUCACCGAUGACGACUGCGUCGUCCCUACGGACUGGCUCGAGUCCGUGGCCCGGGCGUUCGGCGAGAACGACGAAGCCGAUCUCGUCUACGGACAGGUCUUUCCGCUCGAGCGCGACGCCGA